rnacentral:lncRNA from 1 species
CUUGUCGGGAUGCACCACUGUAUCCACCGUAACCAUUUCCUUGAGUCCCAUAAUUACCAGAGGCUUGUGACGGAUCAGAUCUCCAUGCUGCGUUUCCAUACCCUGGAUUGCCAUUGGCAUCACCAUAGCCACUUCCCAUGUAACCGCCACCACUCCCUUGUAAUUCUCCCCCACCCUGGUUACCAGCAUUACUAUUCGGGACACUCCCAGAACGCCCUCCUACUGCCCCAUAACCAGAGGGAUUGCCAUAAGAUCCAUCACUUCCACCAUACCCACCAUAG